GUUUCUGUAGUGUAGUGGUUAUCACGUUUGUCUAAUAUGCAAAAAGUCGCUGUUUCAAAACCAGUCAGAAACA